ensembl:lncRNA
AUCACAUUACUCGCCUGAGCCACAUAGUCAUGAAUCACAGAGACUGAGCAUCACAGGAUGCUGGGGCUGGAGAAGACUGCAUAGACCAGCUGGUCCACCUUAGCACAUUAGAGAGAAAAGUGAAGCCUGAAGAGAGGCGGGCUUACUUAAUUUGCUCGGUAGCAGAGUCAAGCUGCCCACUCCAGUACUCCUGCCUGGAAAAUCCCAUGGAUGAAGGAGCCUGGAUUUUAGUUCCGGGCCAGAGAUCGAAUCCAUGCCCUUAGCAGAAGUGCGAAGUCAACCACUGGACCUCCAGGGAAGUUCCAGACUCGGGUACCUGCUCUCCUCCUACAUGAAGAGCCCGGUCUCAGCUCUGCAAGCAAGUUAGUUCUUAAAACACUUUCUGAUUGACAGAAACAUUUUUCUGAAAAGUGAUACAAUUAAGAUACACCCUAGAAACCAAUUUGAGGCUGACUCUGCCAAAUUAAGCUUUCUGAAGAAAUUGACAAGCAACUUCAG